GUCAUGCUCCCUUUGGCAGGACAUAUACUAAAACUGGAACAACACAAAGAUUAGCAUAGGCCCUGUGCAAGGAUGACAUGUAAAUCCUCUGUCUCAUCUCUCUGAUCU